rnacentral:rRNA from 1 species
CAUUAGUGAAUAUAGGACGUCCAACUUAACUUGGAGUCCGAACUCUCACUUUCUAACCCUGUGCACUUGUUUGGGAUAGUAACUCUCGCAAGAGAGCGAACUCCUAUUCACUUAUAAACACAAAGUCUAUGAAUGUAUUAAAUUUUAUAACAAAAUAAAACUUUCAACAACGGAUCUCUUGGCUCUCGCAUCGAUGAAGAACGCAGCGAAAUGCGAUAAGUAAUGUGAAUUGCAGAAUUCAGUGAAUCAUCGAAUCUUUGAACGCACCUUGCGCUCCAUGGUAUUCCGUGGAGCAUGCCUGUUUGAGUGUCAUGAAUACUUCAACCCUCCUCUUUCUUAAUGAUUGAAGAGGUGUUUGGUUUCUGAGCGCUGCUGGCCUUUACGGUCUAGCUCGUUCGUAAUGCAUUAGCAUCCGCAAUCGAACUUCGGAUUGACUUGGCGUAAUAGACUAUUCGCUGAGGAAUUCUAGUCUUCGGACUAGAGCCGGGUUGGGUUAAAGGAAGCUUCUAAUCAGAAUGUCUACAUUUUAAGAUUAGAUCUCAAAUCAGGUAGGACUACCCGCUGAACUU